rnacentral:lncRNA from 1 species
CUUGCCUGAGAUCUUUCCUAGUAGCCAAGGGUUUGCAUUUUUUAAAGCCAGCGGCAAAGAAUAACAAAAGUGGAAAGACCUCCACGACACUGUCCUAACACAUCCUGUGUUCCAGCCUUAAACAUGACUGUUGUGGGAUAAUCUUUUUGUUCACUGUGAAGAUGUGUCUUUGCCAAGGUACCUUCUGAUUGGUUUAAUAAAAAGCUGAAUGGCCAAUAGCUAGGCAGGAAGAGGUUAGGCGGGACUUCCAGGAGAGGGAGGAACUCAGGGGGAUGAAUCUCGGCACACAAGAGACUCCAGCAAGACUUGGCACAAGUUGGACAUACAGAACAGGAGAAAGACUGCAGAUUAGAACUUGGCCACAGAGGCAACAGCCUUGAAAAUGUAAUCAUAAUUCCAGGCAACCAUUUGCCCAGCAACCGGAUCAAAACUGCUUGGAACCAGGUCUGCUCAGCCCUGAUGUCGAAGGACAGAGUAGAAACACAACCAUGACUGCAUGACAGGCCUAACUAGGGUUAGCACUCUCACCAUUUUCCAAACACACAUCCCCUCAGAAUGAAGGAAAGAAGAGUUCAGACAUCUGUCCACCCAGAACUGCCUCCUAUCUUCAUUCCUUCUGGCAGCUUCUUCCAUUGUUUUACCUUUUCUCUGUGGAAUCAUCUUUAGAACACACUAGUGUCAGACCGGAACUCCCUACUUGAAAGUGUUUGGAUGAAAAAACUGGUCAGAACAUGUUUGAGUCCCAAGAAGCAGAAAGCUCGGAUAGUUGGCCCCACCAUGAAGACACUUAUUGUACUUGAGAAGUCGCCUGGAGAAAAUGACUGCCAAUGAUUCCAUAGCCAGACUCCAAGUCCUUCCGGCUUCUGGGUCUGGCAUUCCUAGGCUGGACUCUGCCACUUACCAAGGUAGCUGGUCUCCGGAUGUCACAGGGCCUGUCAGGAGGUGGGGUACUUUGUCCCCAUGUAUCAGCCUAAGCCAAACUGCCACCAUCUUUGGGAGACCUGUCAGUCCUGCUCCCAACUUCUCUCAUAGAAGAAAGAAGUGUGGAGGACCAUGGGACCCUCACCUGAAUAUCCAGCCACAUCUCCCAAACAGUUAUCCAAGAGAGACAGACAAGGGACAAACGAA